rnacentral:tRNA from 1 species
UUCCUGGUGGUCCAGUGGUUAAGACUCCGUGCUUCCACUGUGAGGGGCACAGGUUCGACCCCUGGUCAGGAAA